UAUGUUCAUUUCAUUUGUUUUACUCUACAGUUCUGGAAAAGGGCUUCAAAACAGGGACUGGCACCAAUUUUCACCCUCCACAACCGCCAUUAAUGAUUGCUGUUUUCAUAUAUGUUCUUAGAAUGAGGGUUUUAAUAAGAUGAUUUACUCCCUUGCCCUUAGAGUGAUGAUACUGCUAAAAGUGUGAUCAUACAUAUUACAGUUUUGGGUGCCCUAAAAAAUUAGGGUUGAUUAGCGUCAUAUGUCUAGGUACUGAUUAAAAUGUUUUUCACAGAUUGUUAUUUUUUUUCCUUGCUUUGUAAAGAUUAUUGUUGAUUCUAUAUUUUGCCCAGCAACUAGAUUAAACUACAUUUUGAAAUGUGACCCUGUAUAAGCCAUUUGUUAUUGCUGGAAUUCAUUCCAUAAAAUGUUGUAAUACCCUUCAAAUCUUCAGUGAAAAACAGUUUUUCUUUACACUUA